CCUGAGAAACCCAAAAGAUCGAUCGGGGAGAUUCAUCGUCAGCGAUCCCGGCGUGUGGCACGGUUCGCGAUGCCGCGGGACCCCGGUCCCGUGGCACGCGUCCGCCCAUAUUUUGAUCUCAGCCGGGUGUCGUCGGCGUGCACUUCUCCCCUCGUAGGACGUCGCGACCCGUUGGGUGUCGGUCUACGGCCCGGGUGGUAGUCUGUCGUGCGUCGCGCCUCGUGCCGACAUGCGGCAGACCCCCGGCUGCCCGACCGGCUGCCCGGCGGUACUCGCACGGUAUCGGGCCGCAAAUAUUCGAACUGCGUCCGAGGCCCGCCACAAGCGAGGUCAGUGUUUCCCGGAUGUGCGGACCUAGCGCCGUCACCGGGCCUGGCCGGCUGUUGGUCGGCGGUGUCCUGGGACAGGCUCACAUAUAAGAUACCGGUCGGCGACGCUACUGCUUUGGGUACUUUCAGGACCCGUCUUGAAACACGGACCAAGGAGUCUAACAUGUGCGCGAGUCAUUGGGAACUCGAAAGCCUAAAGGCGCAAUGAAAGUGAAGGUCGGCCCUGCGCCGACCGAGGGAGGAUGGGCCGCGUCACGAUGCGGUCCCGCACUCCCGGGGCGUCUCGUUCUCAUU
rnacentral:rRNA from 1 species